GUUGAACGCUGGCGGCAGGCCUAACACAUGCAAGUCGAGCGCGAAAGUUCUUCGGAAUGAGUAAAGCGGCGGACGGGUGAGUAAUACAUGGGAAUCUGCCUGGUAGUGGGGGACAACGUUUCGAAAGGAACGCUAAUACCGCAUACGCCCUACGGGGAAAGGGGGGAGUCUUCGGACCUCUCGCUAUCAGAUGAGCCCAU
rnacentral:rRNA from 1 species